UGGGGAAUCUUGGACAAUGGGGGAAACCCUGAUCCAGCCAUCCCGCGUGUGCGAUGAAGGCCUUCGGGUUGUAAAGCACUUUUGGCAGGAAAGAAACGUCAUGGGUUAAUACCCCGUGAAACUGACGGUACCUGCAGAAUAAGCACCGGCUAACUACGUGCCAGCAGCCGCGGUAAUACGUAGGGUGCAAGCGUUAAUCGGAAUUACUGGGCGUAAAGCGUGCGCAGGCGGUUCGGAAAGAAAGAUGUGAAAUCCCAGAGCUCAACUUUGGAACUGCAUUUUUAACUACCGGGCUAGAGUGUGUCAGAGGGAGGUGGAAUUCCGCGUGUAGCAGUGAAAUGCGUAGAUAUGCGGAGGAACACCGGUGGCGAAGGCAGCCUCCUGGGAUAACACUGACGCUCAUGCACGAAAGCGUGGGGAGCAAACAGG
rnacentral:rRNA from 1 species